rnacentral:rRNA from 1 species
GGGCCCGCACAAGCGGUGGAGUAUGUGGUUUAAUUCGAUGCAACGCGAAGAACCUUACCAGGGUUUGACAUCCUGCGAAUCUCUUGGAAACAGGAGAGUGCCUUCGGGAACGCAGUGACAGGUGGUGCAUGGCUGUCGUCAGCUCGUGUCGUGAGAUGUUGGGUUAAGUCCGGCAACGAGCGCAACCCACAUCCCUAGUUGCCAGCAGUUCGGCUGGGCACUCUAUGGAAACUGCCCGUGAUAAGCGGGAGGAAGGUGUGGAUGACGUCAAGUCCUCAUGGCCCUUACGGGUUGGGCUACACACGUGCUACAAUGGUGGUGACAAUGGGUUAAUCCCAAAAAGCCAUCUCAGUUCGGAUUGUUGUCUGCAACUCGACAACAUG